CCCCUCUUGUAGCGUGCUGUUUCUUCAAUCAAUCUUUUUGUCAUGUGUCUCUUCCUUUCUGUCUUCUUCUUUCCCAAAUCAGAUCCCUACUUGUUGCAGAACUCAUAUCAUAAAUCAUAGGAGGGAUCAGGUCUCCUCCACGUGUAAACUGUGAUAAUAGAGCCAUUUUUUUACUCUCUUUGGGACUCAUAUAGAUCAAUACUAAACUGACCUCCUCACGCUCAACAGGAUAAAAGAGGAAAAGAGGAGACGAAUAUAAGAGCAGCCAGCAAGAGCAAAACUCAACAGGGGAAUGGAUACAGUGAAAUAUUCAUGAGAGAGAGACAGCGAAAGAGACUCAGUGCAGCUCUGCAUGCAUGUGAGUAUCAUCCUCCUCCUAGCUAAGAGGCCUCAUAUCUAACAUGGUUUCCUAUCUGCAGGGUCUGUUACAGCCCGCCACUCAUUUCCAUAUACAAGAGCUUCCAUACGCUGUCCUACAGGAGGACAUUUGCAUAAAAAUAGAAGGGGGGCAGAGAAGCUGGAAUAGAGGCCUCUUGAGCUGUGUGAAGCUGUAUGUUUCAUACGACAGCAUUCAUGUGUGGUGGUUUCAGGAUAAAUGGUGUGUUGGGACAAGUAUUUCAAAAAAGGUUAACGUUAUACAACCUACUUCACUAAAUAAAGAGGGCCAAGAGGGGAAGGUUUGACUCCUGUAAGCUUGUUUUAUAAACGUUGUCCUACACUGUCCUCUGCUGGUGAUUAGGUUAAACUGCAGCACUGAGAGAGAGUGAAUGCAGAAGGUCAUUUUAAAAGAACAUUGUUUUUUACUUGAUUAUUGCCCUUUCUGUCUCUCAUGUAUUGAUCUUAUCGUCUCCCUUUAACACUAACUAAGGCCUUAAAUUCAAUGAGCAAAACGAUUAAUAUGGUGAUUGUUACUUCAAGGAAAUGAUAAAGUAAUGAUCAUAAAUGUUCUUCCUUGAGCUGCGUCACCCCGCAGCAGUCCUUAAUGGACUGGCAAGAGGUCUCGCUACAAACAAGCAGCUGUUGUUGUUUAGUCUCUUUGCUAAAGAAAUCAGGCAAAACUAAAAAUAUCUUUGGUGGCUAUUUAUAUAUUUGUGGCUAUAGGGUGGCAUUUGGUUGAGGUUUGUUUAUGGCUCCUCAGACAGCUGUGUAUUGCUAUCGUGGGGCCUUUACUAAGGUUGGUAUAACUAGAGAAGAAAAGGGUCGGCAACAUUCAUCUCUCGAGGGAGUGUCUAACUUGGUGUUACGGUGUGUUUGACCCUAAAUUAAUUUUACGCCAGAAUAUCCCUUCAACUUACAAAAUUUAAACAAAGUCUAAAAAAAGCCGCUAAUAAUCAAACAAAACCUCACGCUACCAUGAGACAACCCUCCUCAUUUCCACUUUUUGGACGAGCCCCCAUUUGUUAUGGCUAGGUGGUAUAGGCCACAACAAGGAAGGGAGGUCCACACAGUAGGUUGUGAAGCAAACAUAACUUUUAAUUCCAACAAAAGCACAGCCCAUACAUAUUAAGUGUUAAAGGUUGCCAGAGACAUACAGAGGAGAAUCCCUUGUGCCUCUCCAGACAGGUGUAGCGAGUCAGCAAUAAGAGAAAAGCUCUGCCUCCAAACUGCAGGGGAAGAUAAUCGAAACUUGCCCACCACCAGAUGGAGUCAUUCCCUGAAAUGAAAGACAGACAGCAGUACCCAGCAACCACUGGGAUAUUUUCCAGUAUCUAGAUAUCAAGGGACAUAACCAUAAUCAAUGAUAACAAGUUCCCACUUCUUUUUUUACACUUGAUACAUAAGGAGGAAACCUGGGGGAUUCGUCUUGUUCAGAAGGUCAGGGGCCCACUGAAGCGUGUGUAAUUUUUUAUACUGGUUUUCUCUGAGUCUGUUGCACAAAAAUGAUUUCUUUGCAAAUAUAACCCUAAAUGUAUGUUGUAUGUAAGGAAAUAGAUCUCCACACACUCACAGCAAAACCCUGACUGACAUGGAUCAACCUAUAGAAAAAUGUGACGGUUGGCCAAACCCAUCUUGGUAGCUGCAGUGAUUCCUCUGCUCCACCCUGGGAUGGACUGAGGAUGGAGGUGCUGCUGGUUUGACAAGUCUGUGGAUCAGUGAACAAAAGAGAGGGAUGUAGAAGUCUCUUUGAUGGCGGUUUCACACUUAGGUUGAUCCUGCAAUCUGACACAGGUUCAAGCUUGACAUGUGAUGAUGAGUAAGAGUUAGAGAGCGUCCAUUCAAACUGUUUACCAACUACAGUUUAUAGAUUAUAAAGAUUUCUGAUCUUAUAAGAGUAAAUCCGGUACAUUAAAAUCUUUCUUAUUUUUGCUGAAAAUACAAUUUAGUCAUGAAUCAGUACUUUGACAUAAAAGCACAACAAUUCAGCAGGUUUUAUUGACUUUAGUACUUUAAACAGAAUUUUCUGCAAGAUGUUUUCACGCAGACAACCUGCUGCUGUGGACAUGUCUGACUCCAGCUGUUUCCAGCAUUAUUGUCACUGUUACAAUGCUAGUGUUAAUUUUUAUAACAUGAUCAUUCCUACCACUAUUAUUAACUUCAUUAUUAUGAAUGCCACCAUGACUUAAUUGUCAUAAAUUAAACUUGGAGCAGUCUGUUGCAUAUUGCACGCCGUUCCUGUAAAUAGGACACACACAUUUCCUCCAUUAUUACUGGCAAAGAAAAGCUUCCAACAGCUCACACAGACUGAAGGUUACAGAGUGACAUUUAUUGUGAAUUAGUGUGCUAUAAAUAAAGGUUAAAUUAUGGAGCAGCUGGAAAAGACCACCUUUAGCAUUAUUUUCUGUACUUAGCCUGUAUACUGCAAACAUUUUCUGCUCCCUUCUUGACAUUUAAAGUAGAAAAAAAGUCUCACUGAGAAGCUCUUUAUGUUACGCAUUUUUUUCUUGCAUCAACAAACAGCACUUUUCCAAGGCACAACUGAACACUUGACUUUUCUUUUAUUCAUCUAGUCUCGUAAUGGUUGAAUUUAAAAGUAUUAUGAAGGCCCAACAUUAAGUCUAACUGUGAACUAUUUGCUCCCUCAUGAUCUCUUAACACCACAAAAUUUCCAUUUAUUCACACAGGACACGGCCUCUGUGGAUCAGGUUUAGUUUUUAUUCUCUUGUUAUCCAAAUGAACAAAUGAGGAACUUCUAUGUCUCUAAAAAGCAUGUAUAUUGUGAAGAAAGUAAUAUUUUAAGGUUGUAUCAUCACAUCUCUGCUGUUUGUCACAGCCUUCAGGCUCAGAGGUUUGGCCCAGAUUCAACUGAAACCUGCGCUCAUUCGAAGCCUGACACUGACUUUAUUUUUGUCUCGUCACUUGUCUCAAUCCUCUAGAUUUGAUUUUCGUAAGAAGUUCCCAAAACCUUUUAGGUCAGUUUUAAAUGUCCUGGAUUAGACUGGGUCUGUGUGACAGCUCAGUCUUGUCUCUGUGUUACAGGUGAAUCAGGUGCAGAGGACAAAUGGGUUUCAGUGCAGAGAUCACAGUGAGCAGCAACAGUUGGACUGAAGACAACAGAAACUGCUGCAGGUUCCUGCAUGCCCUCUGAGAAAUCAAUCCAGAGUCUGUGUGUGUGUAAGCGUAUGUGAGUGAGUGUGUGAAACAGUAAAAAAUCAAACUUAUUAUCCCAGAGUGAAACUAUAUCAUGAAUAUCUUUGUCUUCACAGCUUUGUUCUCAUCUUCUGAUGGAUAAAGAUAAAGUCAUUAGCGACUAGAUUUUAUAUUUGACAUGUUUUUACACUCACUUUUGUAGUCAUAUAUUUUCCCCGACUUCUGGUGUGAAAGAACAGAGAAG